AAGGGUCAAGGGUGAGAAGGAGGGGUGAAGGAAGGGGUCCAGAGAAUUUGACAACAUGAUAUCCUCCCUCACCUGCAGAAUCCUAUACUGGUCCUGAUAUCCUCCUCUGCUGUGGUCUGGUCCUUUGAAAGAGUCCUAUACUGGUCCUGAUAUCCUCCUCUGCUGUGGUCUGGUCCUUUGAAAGAGUCCUAUACUGGUCCUGAUAUCCUCCUCUGCUGUGGUCUGGUCCUUUGAAAGAGUCCUAUACUGGUCCUGAUAUCCUCCUCUGCUGUGGUCUGGUCCUUUGAAAGAGUCCUAUACUGGUCCUGAUAUCCUCCUCUGCUGUGGUCUGGUCCUUUGAAAGAGUCCUAUACUGGUCCUGAUAUCCUCCUCUGCUAUGCUCUGGUCCUUUGCAAGAGUCCUAUAUGGGUCCUGAUAUCCUCCUCUGCUGUGCCUUAGUCCUAUACAAGAGUCCUACACUGGUCCUGAUAUCCUCCUCUGCUGUGGUCUGGUCCUUUGCAAGAGUCCUAUACUGGUCCUGAUAUCCUCCUCUGCUGUGGUUUAGUCCUUUGCAACAGUCCUAUAUUGGUCCUGAUAUCCCCCUCUGCUGUGGUCUGGUCCUAUGCAAGAGUCCUAUACUGGUAAUGUAUCCUCCUCUUCUGAUGUACUCUGGUCCUACAAAACUCCUACAACUGGUCCAGCUAUCCUUCUCCACUUCUCUCUAGUUACAUGCUACACAGUCCUAUAUUGGUCCUGUAGCUAUCCUCCUCUUCUGAUGUCCUGCAAAACUCCUACACUGGUCCAGAUAUCCUCCACUUCUCUCUAGUUACACGCGACACAUUCCUAUAUUGGUCCAGUAUCCUGCUCUUCUAAUGUACUCAGGUCCUACAACAUUCCUACACUGGUCCAGCUAUCCUCCUUCAUUGCUCUCUAUAGUCUUCCAAAUAUAUCGAGACCGGUCUGGCGUAGGCUCCCGCGGGUCCUUUCCUCCCCUCUGCUCUGCCACACAGUCCCAACACCUAUCUCCUCCUCUCAUAUGUAAGGUAUAGGUAACAUAUGAGAGAAAGAAAUAGGUGUUGGGAUUGUGUGGCAGAGCAGAGGGGAGAAAUCGACCCGCGGGAGCCAACGCCAAAACGGACUCGACAAUUUGGUUUCACUUAUAGUUAAUGCGACACAGCCCUAUACUGGUCCUAGCUCAUUCCCAACAAGCCUGGCAGUGCGCUCCUUGGGCAUUCUCCAGUGCACUCCUUGGCAUCUUGAAGAGUCCCACGUUUGAAGGUUUGACAGUGCAUUCCCUGGGCAUUCUACAGUACACUCCUUGGCAUCUUGAAGAGUCCCACGUUUGAAGGUUUGACAGUGCAUUCCUUGGGCAUUCUCCAGUACACUCCUUGGCAUCUUGAAGAGUCCCACGUUUGAAGGUUUGACAGUGCAUUCCUUGGGCAUUCUCCAGUACACUCCUUGGCAGCUUGAAGAGUCCCACGUUUGAAGGUUUGACAGUGCAUUCCCUGGGCAUUCUCCAGUGCACUCCUUGGCAUCUUGAAGAGUCCCACGUUUGAAAGUUUGACAGUGCAUUCCCUGGGCAUUCUCCAGUACACUCCUUGGCAUCUUGAAGAGUCCCACGUUUGAAGGUUUGACAGUGCAUUCCCUGGGCAUUCUCCAGUACACUCCUUGGCAUCUUGAAGAGUCCCACGUUUGAAGGUUUGACAGUGCAUUCCCUGGGCAUUCUCCAGUACACUCCUUGGCAUCUUGAAGAGUCCCACGUUUGAAGGUUUGACAGUGCAUUCCCUGGGCAUUCUCCAGUACACUCCUUGGCAUCUUGAAGAGUCCCACGUUUGAAGGUUUGACAGUGCAUUCCUUGGGCAUUCUUGAAGAGUCCCACGUUUGAAGGUAUCCCACAGGGUCCUCCAGGGUACUGAGCACAUUGAGCUGAUUUGAGACUGUCUCUGCAUACCCCUGAGCACAUGCCAGGUCCUUCAGGCUCACGAGAUGGAACGCAGAAUUGUUGCAUCUCGAGAUUCUGCUUGACGUAACAUAUGAAGCUUGAGUGUUGGAACUUGUCUAUGGUCAGUUGCAAAGAAUUCAGCACUCCGGUAAACCCUCAAGGAUAUCCUCCAACGAGUAUUUGGGAGGAAUAGGAGAAGGAAGAGGAGGAAAACGAAGAUGAUGAUAAUAAUAAUAAUGAUAAUAAUAAUAAUAAUGAUAAUGAUAA